UACUUGGGAAUGUGCCUUUACGUGGGGGAUAACUAUUGGAAACGAUAGCUAAUACCGCAUAAUGUCUACGGACCAAAGGGGGCUUCGGCUCUCGCGUAAAGAGCAGCCCAAGCGAGAUUAGCUAGUUGGUGUGGUAAAGGCGCACCAAGGCGACGAUCUCUAGCUGGUUUGAGAGGAUGAUCAGCCACACUGGGACUGAGACACGGCCCAGACUCCUACGGGAGGCAGCAGUGGGGAAUAUUGCACAAUGGGCGCAAGCCUGAUGCAGCCAUGCCGCGUGUGUGAAGAAGGCCUUCGGUU
rnacentral:rRNA from 1 species